rnacentral:rRNA from 1 species
UACGUAGGGUGCAAGCGUUAAUCGGAAUUACUGGGCGUAAAGGGUGCGUAGGCGGUUCGUUAAGUCUGUGGUGAAAUCCCCGGGCUCAACCUGGGAAUGGCGAUGGAUACUGGCGAGCUAGAGUGUGUCAGAGGAUGGUGGAAUUCCCGGUGUAGCGGUGAAAUGCGUAGAGAUCGGGAGGAACAUCAGUGGCGAAGGCGGCCAUCUGGGACAACACUGACGCUGAAGCACGAAAGCGUGGGGAGCAAACAGG